rnacentral:rRNA from 1 species
CCUACGGGAGGCUGCAGUGAGGAAUAUUGGUCAAUGGGCGCAAGCCUGAACCAGCCAAGUCGCGUGAGGGAUGACGGUCCUAUGGAUUGUAAACCUCUUUUGUCGGGGAGCAAGGCCCGCCACGUGUGGCGGGAAGGAGAGUACCCGAAGAAAAAGCAUCGGCUAACUCCGUGCCAGCAGCCGCGGUAAUACGGAGGUUGCGGGCGUUAUCCGGAUUUAUUGGGUUAAAAGGGUGCGUAGGCGGAAGGUUAAGUCAGCGGUAAAAUGUCGGUGCGCAACACCGGCCUGCCGUUGAAACUGGUCUUCUUGAGUGAGCGAGAAGUAUGCGGAAUGCGUGGUGUAGCGGUGAAAUGCAUAGAUAUCACGCAGAACUCCGAUUGCGAAGGCAGCAUACCGGCGCUCAACUGACGCUGAGGCACGAAAGCGUGGGGAUCGAACAGGAUUAGAUACCCCAGUAGUC